rnacentral:rRNA from 1 species
ACAUCCAGAGAACUUAGCAGAGAUGCUUUGGUGCCUUCGGGAACUCUGAGACAGGUGCUGCAUGGCUGUCGUCAGCUCGUGUUGUGAAAUGUUGGGUUAAGUCCCGNAACGAGCGCAACCCUUAUCCUUUGUUGCCAGCGAUUCGGUCGGGAACUCAAAGGAGACUGCCGGUGAUAAACCGGAGGAAGGUGGGGAUGACGUCAAGUCAUCAUGGCCCUUACGGCCAGGGCUACACACGUGCUACAAUGGCGCAUACAAAGAGAAGCGACCUCGCGAGAGCAAGCGGACCUCAUAAAGUGCGUCGUAGUCCGGAUUGGAGUCUGCAACUCGACUCCAUGAAGUCGGAAUCGCUAGUAAUCGUAGAUCAGAAUGCUACGGUGAAUACGUUCCCGGGCCUUGUACACACCGCCCGUCACACCAUGGGAGUGGGUUGCAAAAGAAGUAGGUAGCUUAACCUUCGGGAGGGCGCUUACCACUUUGUGAUUCAUGACUGGGGUGAAGUCGUAACAAGGUAGGCGUACGUGU